rnacentral:rRNA from 1 species
UGAGGAAUAUUGGUCAAUGGACGCAAGUCUGAACCAGCCAAGUAGCGUGCAGGAUGACGGCCCUAUGGGUUGUAAACUGCUUUUAUAUGGGGAUAAAGUGGGGAACGUGUUCCCUUUUGCAGGUACCAUAUGAAUAAGGACCGGCUAAUUCCGUGCCAGCAGCCGCGGUAAUACGGAAGGUUCGGGCGUUAUCCGGAUUUAUUGGGUUUAAAGGGAGCGUAGGCCGUUUGGUAAGCGUGUUGUGAAAUGUAGGAGCUCAACUUCUAGAUUGCAGCGCGAACUGUCAGACUUGAGUGCGCACAACGUAGGCGGAAUUCAUGGUGUAGCGGUGAAAUGCUUAGAUAUCAUGAAGAACUCCGAUUGCGAAGGCAGCUUACGGGAGCGCAACUGACGCUUAAGCUCGAAGGUGCGGGUAUCGGACAGG